GGGGAAGCUGCCGCUCCUCAGUUCAGUUCGGACGUCUCCCAAGAGACCAGACAUGGCAGGCAAGCAGACCGAGCAUCCCGCAGGGGCCAUCGCUGUCCGUCCCCUCCAUGUCCAGCAUGUGGAGGGCCACAGAGACACGGCCCUCACACUUCCAAUCACGUCUAUCCCUGCUCCCGAACCCCAACUCCCUUCUGUGCUUCAGGCCCGGGCGGGCAGCUGCCUCCCGGACGUGGAUGAACUCUACGCGUUCAAACUGAAAUCUUCAUCUUCCCCCGAUCCUGCCCUUCUUCUGUCCCAGGACCGUAAUGACCUCAUCCUCCACCCGAUCGACCAAAUUAGACACUGAGCACCCUGGAGUUUUCCUCUCCUUAAUCUCACAUGUUCAGCUGAUCAAUUAUCCUAUGAAUUUCAACCCAUAAAUAACUUUCUACUCCAGAGAUCGGCCCACAAGGCCCUCUAAUUGUAUGCUAUGAUAUUGAAGGCUGUGAAAGUGUGUGUUGUGUGUGUGUGAGUGUGUUUGUAGGUGCACAAAGACAUUCUUUUCUGGAGAGAGGACCCGUAGUAGGAGGGAGAGAGGAUAGUUUAGGGUCAUUUUUAGUAGAUUAAACAGAUUACCAAAGGAUCCAUAACCACGCUUCAGCGUCUGGAACAUGUAUCAGUUGAGUUAGGAUGUAAUUAUCAUUUAUCACCAAUUAACAUUUUCUCUGAUUUUGUGUAUGCUUUUCCCUUGGCUGGAAGUCCUUUUCCAGUGCUCAACCAUCUUUGCUGGCAAAGUCAUGCUCUUCCCUCUGGGAGGUCUUGUCAUGUCCUCUGUGCCCCUCCCCCAUGUCCUGUUGCAGAAGUAAUUGUUGCCUUCUGAGGACAGGAGCCUUAGAAACUGUCUGUCUGGAAAGGUUAUAAACGCAGAGAGAGGAGGAAAGUUGCAGCAUUUUACAGUCGCAAAAAAGACAAAAGUAAACCCACCGAUUAGGCUGGAAAAUAAAUGCCUAACCCGGGUAAAGUUGCCCAAAAAGAACAUUGAAUCAAAGAGGAAGUGGGUGCAACGAAAAGUGAGGUUUUAAGAAGAUAACUCUGUGCUCCUCUCCAGGGUCCUUGUAGGUUCUCAAAGAAGGUUCUGCCUUGAGGGAGUUUGGGCAGGUCUUUGACCUGCUGUCCCGAUUCCCUCUGGCGUGGGGGUGGGUGUGGUAGGGGCAGCUGGAACCUGACUCUGCUAUGGGGCGGUGGCUCUCCAGCCUCCUCUGGCUCAGGAGAAGGUCAAUUACUGCUGCGACUACUGCUGGCCAUUCUGCAUCCUCCCCUCUCUCCUUGUCUUCUGCACGUGACUCUGCUGUUCUUCCCCCAGAGGUGGAGUGAGCUUCCCCAUCCUGCACUGUGGGCUCGUCAUUGAUUCCCUCUGGCCAGUGGAUGUUGGCAGACGUAAGGUAAACGGUACUCAAGAUGUGUUUGAGUGACAAGGCUAGCCCUCCUGCUUCUCUGCCUUAGCUCAAGAAGAGCCUUCCCUGGGUGUCUCAAGAGACACCAGGACAGACAAUGCCCCAACCGGUAGCAGCA
ensembl:lncRNA